UAUGCUUUCUCUAUCUCAAUUUCCUCCCCAAUUUCUCUCUAGAUUUAUAACAGUUUCGAAUAUUUAAGUAGAGGCAAACCGGCCAGCUGGCCAAUAUUUAAAUUCAUAAUUGGAUCGUUAUAGCCACGCGCCGAAGAAAGCCGGUAGAGAAUCGAAACACUUUUUGGCGGCAUCUCUUCCCUCACCACCACCAAUCCAAAAUUUUUGCAGCUAUAUAAUGUUCCUCCAGCCCUUUCCCUUUAUAAUUUUGUAUCGUCAUUGUAACCAACUCUCCCUCUCUGUUUCUCAUACCUCGCUAGCUAUCCAGAGUCGAAAUCGUUAGAUUUUAGUCUCCGAGCUCCAUUGCUCUACUUUUUCUCUGUCAGCGUUCCAAGUUCAGUUGUGAGCCAACAAUGAGAUCUACUGCGAACAAUGGUGGCUAUCGGGAUCGGAGAUCGAUGAAGCAUGUUCUGGACAACGUUCAUGGAUACAUCUACCUCGACCCGCUAUUCUUGCAGUUCAUUGACACUGAACAGUUUCAGAGGCUUCGUGAUCUCAAGCAACUUGGUCUGACACACAUGGUUUACCCUGGGGCUGCACAUUCUCGAUUUGAGCAUUCACUGGGAGUUUAUUGGCUGGCUGGUGAAGCUGUCAAUAAAAUUAAUUUUUACCAAGGCCAGGAGCUUGGAAUUGAGGAGUUUGACAGGAACACAGUAAAACUUGCUGGACUACUGCAUGAUAUCGGCCAUGGCCCUUUCAGCCACAUGUUUGAGCGCGAGUUUCUUCCUCGGGUUCUUGAUGGUUACGAAUGGUCUCAUGAGGAUAUGUCUCUGAAGAUGAUAGAAUACAUUGUCGACAAGCACUGUAUUGAUAUUGAUUCGGCAAUCCUCAAGACUGCGAAGGAAAUGAUCCUUGCCAGCUCUGAACAUGGGCCAGAAAAAAGCAUGACAGAAAAGCGUUUCUUGUAUGAUAUUGUUGCAAAUGGGCGAACUGAAAUAGAUGUUGACAAGUUUGAUUACAUUGUGCGUGACUCCCGAGCAUGCGGUAUUGGUUCUGGUUUUCAAUUUGAAAGGCUGAUGGAAACUAUGAGAGUGAUGGAUGAUGAGAUAUGUUAUCGCGCUAAUGAGUAUCUGACACUCCACAAGCUAUUUGCCACUCGUGCUGAUCUUCAUCGGACUGUGUACACACAUCCAAAAGUGAAGGCUAUUGAACUCAUGGUUGUUGAUGCUCUGUGCUAUGCAAAUGCUGAUCUUGGCAUUGCAGCUUCAAUUCAAAAACCAUCUGAAUUUUGGAAGUUGGAUGACUCAAUUUUGAAAUGGAUCCAAAACCUCUGAUUCUGAUAGCCCUAGCCUCAAGGAAGCUAAAAAUUUAAUCCAACGCAUCCGUAAAAGGGAUCUGUACCAGUAUUGCAAUCAGUUUUCUGUUCCAAAGGACAAGCUAGAGAAUUUCAAAGACAUCACACCCCAAGAUAUAAUUUGUUCACAGAAAUCUGGUGGCGUUACACUGAAGGAAGAAGAUGUUGCUGUGAGCACUGUCAAAAUUGAUUUGACUCAUGGAAGGAUGAACCCUCUUGAACGAAUCAAUUUUUUCAAGGAUUAUGAUAGCUCUGAGAAAUUUCGAAUCCCAGAUGAUCGCAUAAGUCACUUGCUUCCCAGAUUUUUCCAAGAUAGGAUAGUGAGGGUGUACGCAAAGAAGCCGGAACUGGUGGAAGCAGUUGCUGAGGCCUUUGAGAACUAUCAGGUGAAGACAUAUGGAUGUAAAGCCCAGGUACAUGCAACUCCUGAUAAAAAGAAGGCACGCAAACAACUGGAAUAUCAAUAUCAAACUGACCGUCAGUGACCACAGUGUAUAUCCAUAUAUCUGACUGUAAAGAAACUUAAACAUCCUACCGCAUAUUAUUUUGGAUAUCAGCAACUUUGUAAAUGUACGUAUGAAUAUCUGGAAGCCAUGAGAAACUUUGUAAAUGUACGUAUGAAUAUCUGGAAGCCAUGAGAAAAUGUAUAAAUCCAUAUAAUCGUGUA